AAUAACUGAUACGCAUACGAAUCAAGCGAGAAAGCACGACAAAGUGAGAAAAAUCCAAAAUGGCUACAAUUGUCAAAAAGGAAUUUUGCUGAUCCCCUCUUUUCGUCCGAGAAAUAUCCAGACACAUACAGCUUAGAAACAUACGUCUACUGCUCCAAAAGUCAAGCGGGCGAGAGUGGAUGACGGCGAGUCUUAUCGGUUCAUCUGUUCGUAUCUGGGAAACGGCAAUUGCCGGUAUUCCCAUUGGGCAGCAGUUUUCCUUUGCGAUGGUUUAUCCACAGGAGCACCAGAAUCCGACACAGUCACAGACCAGCCAGUAACAGCAUCACAUUAUCGCUGAUAGCGAUCAUGAAAAGAUUCCUUUAUCGAGCAUUGAUGACUAAUGAGAAAAGAAGAUGCGUUGACGGCUCAAUUUAGGUACUAUGGAAAAUAUUGUCUGGAAAGUGAUACGACGGUAAGUAGAUUGUCUGUUUAUACGACGAUAAUUUGCAACGACGAUACUCCUGCAGCUGCAGCUCCUGUCUAGCAGAGCACGACCGCUCCAAUAUUAACAUCCUGAUAUGUGCGUCAUCCCAAUAAUUGCUCCGCCUAGGAAAAUUUUAAAAGUUCCCAGAAGAAGACUCAGCAGCUCGCUCGGUCUCGCAGAUUAUGAACACGUUGAUGCAUCACAAAAUCCAAGAUCACCUGCAGAAGGACGUACUUUUAUCGUGCUCAAAACCACACCACCGAUGGCAGGAUGCGAUGACGGAUAUUACUCUUCUGCCCACAACGAGAAUGAAAUAACGGUCAAGUUCUUUUUUCGUGCAAUGAAGGCAUAGGACUCAUCUUCUGCAAUCAGGUGCUGUGCAAACUGGCAGAGCAGCGCUGUCGUAGGCGUUGGCUAUUUACCCGAAGCUCGACCCGAAGAACUUGAACAUCGUAAUUCACGAUGCAGUUCUUCCUGAGGAAAUCGAUACAAACACUGAUGUGCAAGUUCCAUUGCUACCAAAACCAACAUAAAUGAGGCUACCGAGGUCGAUACGAAAAUUAAACCUCCGGCGAUAAUACCAUUUUGUACCGAUAGAAAAUUAUCACUGCAAGCCUGUCAUCAGCGAGGUCAUCAGCAGAGUGAUCAACUGCAAUGAGGAUGUGUCAUCAUGUGUCGAAAUGAUAUCUUUCGAUGCUGCUAUAACGACACAUGUUUAAUGUUGGACGUUUUGCGUCUGAUUUUCUUCAACUCCGCCAAUUAUGUUUAUGCCUAGUGCUUGAAAAUGAUGUCAGCUCCAAACAUUUGUGAAUUUCAAUUAUUACCGGUAAACCCAAAUUCAUAGUGUGUACCAUAUACUGAUUUAUAAUGUUUAUAAGAAUAAAUUCAAACAAUAUUUAAAAAAAA